CCUACGGGAGGCAGCAGUGGGGAAUAUUGCGCAAUGGGGGAAACCCUGACGCAGCAACGCCGCGUGAGUGAAGACGUAUCUCGGUAUGUAAGGCUCUAUCAGCGCGGAAGAAGGACGCGGGUCGCCGACUAAGAAGCACCGGCCAAACACGUGCCAGCAGCCGCGGUAAUACGCAGGGGGCGCGCGUUAUCCGGAUUUACGGGGUGUAAGGGGAGCGUAGGCGGCGUCGCAAGUCUGAAGUGAAAGCCCGGGGCUCAACCGCGGAACCGCUUUGGAAACUGCGAGGCUGGAGUGCUGGAGAGGUAAGCGGAAUGCCUGGUGUAGCAGUGAAAUGCGUAGAGAUC
rnacentral:rRNA from 1 species